AGAAUCUCGAUUACGUAACAAUGGUGUUCCUCUCGAUUCCCAACGGGAAGACUCUUUCGAUCGAUGUGAACCCUAAUUCGACCACCAUCUCCGCCUUCGAACAAUUGGUCCACCGGCGCGCCGAUGUUCCCCAACCUUUCGUUCGUUACUCGCUCCGCAUGCGAAACCCUAGCCGUAUGUUCGGUGAUUCGAAGAAUUCCGAUUCGGUCCUGUUAUCUGAUCUCGGUGUUUGUCGUUUCUCCACUGUGAUUAUCCAUGUCCCUCUUUUGGGCGGUAUGCAAGGAGUGGCUCCGCCAAAGGCUCGUCUCGAUUUCCUCAAUUCAAAGCCUCCGUCUAAUUAUGUCGCGGGUUUGGGUCGUGGUGCCACAGGGUUUACCACUCGGUCUGAUAUUGGUCCCGCUCGUGCUGCUCCGGAUCUGCCUGAUCGAUCCGCCACGGCUACAGCGGCUGCUCCAGGAGUUGGUCGAGGGGCAGGGAAGCCAAGUGAGGCGGAUGACGAUGAAGAAGCUGAGGAGAAAGGGUACGAUGAGAAUCAGAAGUUUGAUGAGUUUGAAGGGAAUGAUGCGGGUUUGUUUGCUAAUGCUGAGUACGAUGAGGAUGACAAAGAAGCUGAUGCGAUCUGGGAGUCUAUUGAUCAGAGGAUGGAUUCGAGGAGGAAAGAUCGGAGAGAAGCGAAGCUCAAGGAAGAGAUCGAGAAGUACCGAGCCUCAAACCCUAAAAUUACUGAGCAGUUUGCGGAUUUGAAGAGGAAAUUGCACACUUUGUCUGCGGAUGAAUGGGAUAGUAUUCCUGAGAUUGGGGAUUACUCGCUGCGUAACAAGAAGAAGAAGUUUGAGAGCUUUGUGCCUAUUCCUGAUACGCUUUUGGAGAAGGCUAAGAAGGAAAAAGAGCUUGUCAUGGCCUUAGACCCAAAGAGUCGAGCGGCUGGUGGGUCGGAGACACCAUGGGCGCAGACUCCCGUGACAGACUUGACUGCCGUCGGUGAGGGAAGAGGUACGGUGUUGUCUCUGAAGCUUGAUAGGUUAUCGGAUUCAGUUUCAGGGCAAACUGUUGUGGAUCCUAAAGGCUACUUAACUGAUUUGAAAAGUAUGAAAAGAACCACUGAUGAAGAGAUUUACGAUCGCAACAGGGCUAGAUUGUUAUAUAAGAGUCUAACACAGUCGAAUCCAAAGAAUCCCAAUGGCUGGAUUGCUGCCGCUAGAGUGGAGGAAAUGGAUGGGAAAAUAAAAGCGGCUAGGCUUCAGAUUCAGAGAGGCUGCGAAGAGUGCCCGAAAAAUGAGGAUGUUUGGCUUGAAGCUUGUAGGUUGGCCAAUCCAGAAGAUGCCAAGGCGGUGAUUGCAAAGGGAGUAAAACUAAUACCCAAUUCCGUGAAGCUAUGGUUGGAGGCUGCAAAGCUGGAGCAUGAUGAGGAGAACAAGAGUAGGGUGUUGAGAAAGGGGCUGGAGCAUAUUCCAGACUCGGUAAGGCUAUGGAAGGCUGUUGUUGAGUUGGCUAAUGAGGAAGAUGCAAGGAUUUUGCUUCACAGGGCUGUGGAGUGCUGCCCUUUGCAUCUGGAGCUAUGGGUGGCGCUUGCAAGGCUUGAAACAUACGACAAUUCGAAGAAGGUGUUGAAUAGAGCAAGAGAGAAGCUCCCUAAGGAGCCUGCAAUUUGGAUCACCGCUGCUAAGCUAGAGGAAGCUAAUGGGAACAAAGCUAUGGUGGGAAAGAUUAUUGAUAGGGGUAUAAAGACUCUGCAGAGAGAAGGGGUUGUUAUUGACCGAGAAAAUUGGAUGAAUGAGGCAGAGGCUUCUGAAAGAGCCGGGUCUGUCGCAACAUGCCAGGCAAUUAUUAAGAACACUAUCGGUAUUGGAGUCGAGGAAGAGGAUAGAAAGAGAACUUGGGUUGCUGAUGCAGAGGAGAGCAAGAAGAGGGGUUCCAUUGAGACCGCAAGAGCAAUAUACGCCCAUGCUCUUACUGUAUUCUUGACUAAGAAAAGUAUCUGGCUUAAAGCGGCGCAGCUUGAGAAGAGCCACGGGAGUAGGGAGUCCCUUGAUGCUUUGUUACGUAAGGCUGUGACAUAUGUCCCUCAGGCUGAGGUUCUCUGGCUCAUGGGCGCCAAAGAGAAGUGGCUUGCUGGAGAUGUUCCAGCAGCGCGUGCUAUUCUACAAGAGGCUUAUGCUGCAAUACCCAACUCUGAGGAAAUCUGGCUUGCUGCUUUCAAGCUCGAGUUUGAGAACAAGGAGCCGGAGAGGGCAAGAAUGCUUCUUGCAAAAGCAAGGGAAAGAGGAGGGACUGAGAGGGUCUGGAUGAAAUCAGCCAUUGUUGAGAGAGAGCUUGGCAACGUAGAGGAGGAGAGGAGAUUGCUUGAUGAAGGUUUGAAGCAAUUUCCAAAGUUCUUCAAGUUUUGGUUGAUGCUUGGGCAGCUCGAGGAACGGCUCAAUCAUCUGGAACAGGCCAAGAAAGCUUACAGCUCUGGCACGGAGCACUGUCCCGACUGCAUACCGCUGUGGCUCUCGCUCGCUAAUCUUGAAGAGAAAGUGGAUGGUGCGAACAAAGCUCGGGGUACUCUCACCAGGGCCAGGAAGAAGAAUCCUGCGAACGCUGAGCUAUGGUUAGCUGCUGUUCGUACUGAACUGAGGCAUGGGAACAAGAAAGAAGCAGAGCACAUGAUGUCAAAGGCUCUGCAAGAGUGUCCCCACAGUGGUAUCCUCUGGGCUGCCGACAUUGAGAUGGCGCCACGUCCUCGCCGGAAAACAAAGAGUAUGGAUGCUAUGAAGAAGUGUGAUCAUGACCCGCAUGUCACUGCAGCUGUCGCCAAGCUCUUCUGGCAAGACAAGAAGGUGGAGAAAGCCAGAUCGUGGUUGAAACGGGCUGUGACCCUCGCCCCAGAUAUUGGUGAUAUCUGGGCGUUGUAUUACAAAUUUGAACUUCAGCAUGGCUCUGAAGAGAACCAGAAGGAGGUCGUUGCCAAGUGUGUAGCUUGUGAGCCGAAGCAUGGUGAGAAGUGGCAAGCUAUCGCCAAAGCGGUGGAGAAUGCACACCAGCCUGUCGAGGUCAUCUUGAUAAGAGUCGCGGUUGCAAUGAGCAAGGAAGAGAAGGCUGCUUGAGAGUAACAAAUUCCCUUUUGUUUUUCAUUAUCAUAGCACAUUACAUCUUGGUUCUUGUUUUCUCUUUGCAGGCUCAACUUUUAGCAGUUCAUGUUUUUUCUUCAGUAGCGAGAACUGGUAUUGAUUUGCUGGAGUGUUUUCACCUGAUACUUGUAAAAUUCCCAGUUUCCUGAAUGCUUCAGUCUUCUUUGAGCUUUGUCUUCCUGGUGUCUAAGAUUGGCGUGUGGUACAAGUCAUGAAAAUCCACUCCAAAGCUACUUUAGACAGUUAAAUCCCAGGAGAAUAUAAUAAACAAACUCUUGCAUGUUUAAAUCAACCAACUAGUAUCUUGCUAACCGCCCACUAUUUCUUUGCCUUCUCUACAACAAUUGCUUCUUUCGGAGAUAUGAUUCUCAAACAAGGACUAGCGCUUAUACCAGCUUCAGUAGAGACCCCGGACUCUGAGAGACUUGGGCCGUGGUAACUACAGUAUGUUUAACUCUUGAGUAACUAGUUUGUUAGUGCUAACGUUUUGCUAGAGACUUGUUUUGCGGGUGAUCUGUUCUAGUCUUUUCCCGAGAUCCUCUUUAAGAUUCUUUGAACUGUCCAGUUGUUAUGAUGCAACCAGGGUUAGGUAGAACCUAAUGGGAACCCCGGAUUUUCUUGUCAUGGCGUCUCUGAAACCGCAGAUCAACUUUGCUUGCCUCUAUUGAAAUCGCAGUCAUCAACAGCUACUCGUUCCAUUGGAGUGAGGUCUCUGAGUUUACCAUUGUAUUGGCGUUUCCUACAAGUCUUCGUGAUGCCUGAACUUGUCGCAGUCAAUAGUUGUGAUAGAGCUUAUGAUGAUUAAACGUUUUCAUGAUUGGCUUUGUACAAGUUCUUGAAGACAUUGUGUCUGCCAAAAUCAGGAUCGAAUCCAUCACAACACAGCUGACUUUAUAGCCGUAAACUACUUGCCAGAUCUUAAGUCCCAUAGGGACCGGACUCAACUAAAAAUUAGGGACAAGUCAAAGAAAUUCUGCUUGGCCACUUGGUACGAAAACUGGACCCACACACUAGGCUGUAUUGAGCCCAUCACAACGUUUCUAACCAAACCUAUGUCUCUGUCUAGAAAAUGAACUGAACUUAACACG